rnacentral:misc_RNA from 1 species
GAAAUGCGAUAAGUAGUGUGAAUUGCAGAAUUCAGUGAAUCAUCGAAUCUUUGAACGCACAUUGCGCCCCUCGGCAUUCCGUGGGGCAUGCCUGUUCGAGCGUCAUCUACACCCUCAAGCUCUGCUUGGUGUUGGGCGUCUGUCCCGCCUCCGCGCGCGGACUCGCCCCAAAUGCAUUGGCAGCGGUUCCUUGCCCCCCUCUUUGCGCAGCACAUUGCCAUUCGAGGCGGCGGCGGCCCGCGUCCAACAAGCUCAACCCCCCCGUCUUUGACCUCGGAUCAGGUAGGGAUACCCGAUGAACUUAAGC